rnacentral:lncRNA from 1 species
AUGACCUCCAUGUUGCUGUUAAAUUUAGCUGCCUUAAGGUAAUGUUUAAAGGCUGCACCAUUAACAGUUGGUCAUAGACUAGGAAUAUGAAUCAUCAGCCUUGCGCCAAACCAAAGCUUUUGGCAAAACCUUAAGGUCACACUUUUUCCUUUAUUCACACCAAACAGUGGCAUUGGAUGUAAACUCUAUCCUGCUGAAUUGUACAAUUGUUUUACUUCAAAAUAAAUAUUUAGCACAUAGCAUCUUUAUACCAAAUCAUAGAUUAUAUUUUUACUUUAAAAUCUUAAAAAUUAGUACUGUAAAUAUAAUAGAACUGAAAC